UCAUGGAGUGGUAUGUGGUGUUGCGUGGCGCAAGCCCGCAUCAUCCGCCAACCCAUCCUUGGCUAGGGCCGGCGUAGCUAGCAAUAGAUUCGUCGGAUCCAGGCCUUUCUGCCACGGUGCCCCCGUGAUAUGCGGACCCUCGGUAACGAGGAUGCCGUGCGGGUGGUACGGGUCGACGUUCGGGCCAUGUUCGGUGACCGCCUAUGUAUGUAUUAUAUGUAUAUGGGGGGUGAUCGGCGUGAGCUUCCUGGCGUCGGCCGGGAGUUCCAUGCUCCGUUUCCAGGGCACGCUCGCGUGCGUGGGAAUGGGCACACAGCGCGGGCUCCAUGCCCCGCUGUGGGGACUCCCGCAACCAAUAUCCUACAUCCUUUAACCUGUGUAAAUGCUUGAUCGUCUAGCACGUCGAGCAAAUUAACAUAAAUAACACUGUACAAUGGAUUUCUUGGCUCCCACAUCGAUGAAGAACGCAGCAAAGCGCGAUAGGUAGUGUGAAUUGCAGAAUUCCGUGAAUCAUCGAAUUUUUGAACGCAUAUUGCGCCCAAGUCCUCGGACUUGAGCAUGUCUGCCUCAGCGUCGUUUUUAAUGGCUCUCCGUUCAUGGCACUUGCUGCUUCAGUAAAGUUACCACAGCGAUAACCGUCGUUCAUUGGUAGCAGGACAGCAUGCGCUCAAGACCUGUCGACACAUCGCGUGGGUCACCACACGACGUACGACAGCAGCCAUCCUCGGCACUGUUCAUCGUAAGCAAGCUACCUCGCGUGGCCACAUGCUUUCUCAUGGGCAAGUGUAUCAACGGGGCAGCGGCGGCAUCUCGGAUGUUGCUCGUUGUCUGGCUGUCGACACC
rnacentral:sRNA from 1 species